rnacentral:rRNA from 1 species
GCUUGCUCCUUUGACGUUAGCGGCGGACGGGUGAGUAACACGUGGGUAACCUACCUAUAAGACUGGGAUAACUUCGGGAAACCGGAGCUAAUACCGGAUAAUAUUUCGAACCGCAUGGUUCGAUAGUGAAAGAUGGCUCUGCUAUCACUUAUAGAUGGACCUGCGCCGUAUUAGCUAGUUGGUAAGGUAACGGCUUACCAAGGCAACGAUACGUAGCCGACCUGAGAGGGUGAUCGGCCACACUGGAACUGAGACACGGUCCAGACUCCUACGGGAGGCAGCAGUAGGGAAUCUUCCGCAAUGGGCGAAAGCCUGACGGAGCAACGCCGCGUGAGUGAUGAAGGUCUUCGGAUCGUAAAACUCUGUUAUUAGGGAAGAACAAACGUGUAAGUAACUGUGCACGUCUUGACGGUACCUAAUCAGAAAGCCACGGCUAACUACGUGCCAGCAGCCGCGGUAAUACGUAGGUGGCAAGCGUUAUCCGGAAUUAUUGGGCGUAAAGCGCGCGUAGGCGG